GCACGAAGUUAGCCGGGGCUUAUUCUGCGGGUACCGUCAUCAUCGUCCCCGCCAAAAGAGCUUUACAACCCGAAGGCCUUCAUCACUCACGCGGCAUGGCUGGAUCAGGGUUGCCCCCAUUGUCCAAUAUUCCCCACUGCUGCCUCCCGUAGGAGUCUGGGCCGUGUCUCAGUCCCAGUGUGGCUGAUCGUCCUCUCAGACCAGCUAACGAUCGUCGCCUUGGUGAGCCAUUACCUCACCAACUAGCUAAUCGUACGCGGACUCAUCUUUUGGCGAUAAAUCUUUAUCCCGAAGGAACCAUCCGGUAUUAGCCCCAGUUUCCCGGGGUUAUUCCGAACCAAGAGGCAGAUAUCCACGCGUUACUCACCCGUGCGCCACUCGUGUAUUGCUACACGCGUUCGACUUGCAUGUGUUAAGCCUGCCGCCAGCGUUCGUU
rnacentral:rRNA from 1 species